rnacentral:rRNA from 1 species
AUUGAACGCUGGCGGCAGGCCUAACACAUGCAAGUAGAACGAGUGGCGGACGGGUGAGUACUGUCUGGGAAACUGCCCGAUGGAGGGGGAUAACUACUGGAAACGGUCGCUAAUACCGCAUACCAUCGGAUGUGCCCAGAUGGGCUUAGAUAGGAGGUGGGGUAACGGCUCACCUAGGCGACGAUCCCUAGCUGGUCUGAGAGGAUGACCAGCCACAAUGGAACGUAGACACGGUCCAGACUCCUACGGGAGGCAGCAGGGGAGAAUAGUGCACAAUGGGCGCAAUCCUGAUGCAGCCAUGCCGCGUUUAUUAAGAAGGCCUUCGGGUUGUAAAGUACUUUAAGCGAGGAGGCGUUACUCGCAGAAGAAGCACCGGCUAACUCCGUGCCAGCAGCCGCGGUAAUAC